rnacentral:lncRNA from 1 species
GGAGAGGAAACCCCGAUUAUAGGCCCAGUGGCCAAAAAGAGCCCAGGGGUGGGGAUGGUCCAGAGGCAGAGGGUGGGCUGGGGGCCUCAGGGAUUACUGCUGUGAGCAGCCUUUGCACAGUGCUCUGGGCUAGGGAGCAGCAGCAGAAUGGCUUUACCUUUUGGCUCUGUCCCUUGGGCCCAUAAUAUCUUCAUGUUUGCUUCCUCACCUGCAAACGAGUAGUCAUGGACAGCAAUGAGUAUCACUGUUGCUCUAGGACUUGUAGCCCAUGUAAUAAGACAAGAAAAGGCAAAACAUGGAAAGGAGAUUAAAUGAUGAUGAUUAUUGUCUACCGAAAACCUCAAGAGAAGCAGCUGCUGUUCCAGAUGUGGUUCCGUUGCUGGAGCAAAUCAACACAUCAUCAGACACUGGGAAGGCAGCUGUUGAGUUGGUGGGUGUCUCUUUUUCUCUACACCUGUUAGUAAAGAACAGUAAAAUAAGUUUGCUUCCC